UUUAACGCUGGUGCAUGCAGCUUCAGCGCAUGUCGGUUGUUGCAUGUCUGCUCCAUUUGCUUGACUAUGUGCCCGGCCCGACUGUCAUCUAAAAAAUUGACUGACCGAGGUCAACGUAGAUAUUGUGGCUUACUAACUACACUCCCACCCAGUAAGGCAUUUGGUGUCUGGUUUCUCACAGGGUUUUCACACGGGCCUCAUCACCAUCCCCACAGGCAUGCUUGAAUGCCCUAACCUGCUCUCAGCUUUUAACGUCUCUCUUACGGUGGACCACCUACUGCCCACAGAAACUAAAGCAGGCUUCAUGAUUGGCCCUUUCACUGGAUCUCCUUUUUCAUCUUGGCGAACCAACCCCAUUGGCAUGGCCGUGCACAAAUACUCAAAUAAAAAAAGUUUAAUUAUCGACCUCUCUGUACCUCAUUCUUCUUCCAUCCCCAGCAUAAACUCUCUCAUUCCUGCUGAGGAGUUUUCAUUACACUAUGCUAAAAUCGAUGACUCUGUGCAAGCCAUUAUCACAGCAGGCAGCAAGGCAUGGUUGAGCAGGUUUUAUUUUUCUACCAGGCUUACUUUUGGGUCAAGGAGCAGCCCUAAGCUGUUUGACAUUUUCGCUAAAACGCUCUGUUGGCUGCUCCUAAACACAGUUAGGUGUCCAUCUGUUAUCCACUAUUUGGAUGAUUUUUUCUAGAUGGAUCCGGGGUCACAUACACCAAUUAGCAUUCACAACACCACAGCCCUCUUCAGUACACUAGGGGUACCCCUGUCACCAAGUAAAACGCUUGGACCCACUACCAAGCUAGUUUUCUUGGGCAUCGUUUUGGAUACAGUAUCCUUCCAAGCCAGCCUACCACCAGAGAAAUUGACCCGCAUUGGGGACGAAAUUGGUCUGUUCCUGAGGAGUGAUACAUGCACCAGGAAGGGACUCCAGUCCUUAUUGGGGUCCCUUAACUUCAUGAUGCGGAUCAUUCCGCAGGGCAGAUCAUUCCGCAGGGCAGAUCAUUCGUCUCUAGGCUACUGUGUUUACUCCAUGGGGUGCCCGACUCCUGCCUAAUUACUUUGGAUGGUCCCGCCAUUGCUGAUCUACACAUGUGGACUUCUGCACUUCUUGGUCGAAUGGCCGAAUCUGCACUUCUUGGCCGAAUGGCAUAUAGUCUCUCUGUUAAUAUCUCUACUAUCAGAGCUUUCACCUACUAUUUACACAGACGCAUCAGCACAUACCGGG